rnacentral:rRNA from 1 species
UAUGAGUGCCAGCCGCCGCGGUAAUACAUAGGUGGCAAGCGUUAUCCGGAUUUAUUGGGCGUAAAGCGUGCGUAGACGGUUUUGCAAGUCUGAGGUUAAAUUUAGGGGCUCAACCCCUAACCGCCUUGGAAACUACAUUACUAGAGUAUAGGAGAGGUUAGUGGAAUUUCAUGUGUAGCGGUGGAAUGCGUAGAUAUAUGAAGGAACACCAGUGGCGAAGGCGGCUAACUGGCCUAUUACUGACGUUGUGGCACGAAAGCGUGGGGAGCAAAUAGGAUUAGAUACCCUAGUAGUCCACGCCGUAAACGAUGAGUACUAAGUGUUGCCAUGAGGCAGUGCUGUAGCUAACGCAUUAAGUGCUCCGCCUGAGUAGUAUGCUCGCAAGAGUG